UGCAGUCGAGCGGACAGAUGGGAGCUUGCUCCCUGAUGUUAGCGGCGGACGGGUGAGUAACACGUGGGUAACCUGCCUGUAAGACUGGGAUAACUCCGGGAAACCGGGGCUAAUACCGGAUGGUUGUUUGAACCGCAUGGUUCAAACAUAAAAGGUGGCUUCGGCUACCACUUACAGAUGGACCCGCGGCGCAUUAGCUAGUUGGUGAGGUAACGGCUCACCAAGGCAACGAUGCGUAGCCGACCUGAGAGGGUGAUCGGCCACACUGGGACUGAGACACGGCCCAGACUCCUACGGGAGGCAGCAGUAGGGAAUCUUCCGCAAUGGACGAAAGUCUGACGGAGCAACGCCGCGUGAGUGAUGAAGGUUUUCGGAUCGUAAAGCUCUGUUGUUAGGGAAGAACAAGUACCGUUCGAAUAGGGCGGUACCUUGACGGUACCUAACCAGAAAGCCACGGCUAACUACGUGCCAGCAGCCGCGGUAAUACGUAGGUGGCAAGCGUUGUCCGGAAUUAUUGGGCGUAAAGGGCUCGCAGGCGGUUUCUUAAGUCUGAUGUGAAAGCCCCCGGCUCAACCGGGGAGGGUCAUUGGAAACUGGGGAACUUGAGUGCAGAAGAGGAGAGUGGAAUUCCACGUGUAGCGGUGAAAUGCGUAGAGAUGUGGAGGAACACCAGUGGCGAAGGCGACUCUCUGGUCUGUAACUGACGCUGAGGAGCGAAAGCGUGGGGAGCGAACAGGAUU
rnacentral:rRNA from 1 species